UCUUCACAGCUCUAUGUGAUCCCGUUCCUUCCAUCAACUUCAGGUUGCAUUUCCCACAGAGAGCAUUUCAGAACCAUUUUUUUACUCUGAGGAGUUUACAGGUCUGACAAACAAAAUAGGCAACCAAGUGGCUCAGACUAAAAUGACUAUGACACGAUGUCAAGAAUCAAUGUUUUUUUUUAAUGCACUAAAAUGUGGUCAGAUGUUUGGCUUGGAUGCUUCCAAGCCAGAUGGAACAUUUUGUCUCUGACAGAGUUUAGAUUCUACUUGAACUUAAUUUCUAUCUCCUCUGUCAUCUAAGUCAAAUUAGCUACAUGUGACACUUAAUGCUUGCUGUCUUUCCCCUUGUCUAACACACGAUUACUGUGGCACAAGAGGUACAGCUGUUAAGGACACGGUUUGGAGAAUGAUGGGAUACCUCUUGACCAAUGAAGUUGCCAGACAGAUGAAUUGGAAAGGAGCCAAUGGCAAAGCAGCCUUCAAGAACCUUACUCUAAGAGAAGUAAUCAAUGGCAAAGAUGCGGACUUAAGGAAAAGAGCACCAGAGCACAAAGAGCUCAGAAAGUCUGCGAGAGAGUCCUCAUGCACUGACAGUGGGACAGCCCUAAACUCUUGUGGAUUCACCGAAAAAGCCAUCAUCCGUUUGCUGUGAGUGUGGAGAUCGGAAGAGUUGAAUCUUACUCAAUUGUCCCUCCGGGCUCCCUUACAGUCAAGAUGGCAGCUAAGAUAACAAAAACGGGGAUUUAUUCAUCUCCUAUCCUAUCUAUAAGUGGAUCUUAACAUAUCAGAAAGGGAAUUAAUCUGCAGAUGCUCUGGUUCAAGAUGAGACUAGACUUUUCUAUGGAUGUCUGUUUUUGAGUCACGACAAACAACAAAAUGUGCAACAGAUCAGGUAAGCCUUGUUUUUAACCUAGCCGACUGCAGGAAAUGCCUUUAGCUAUGGCGAAUACCGCUGAAAACACCAAAGUCUAAGCUUUACAAUAGGCUCAGUCAAUAACAUAGGUUCAUAGGCACUGAUUGAUGAAUAAAGUGACUUUUAUGUUAAAUGAUCUGUCGCGUGUAGAAUCAAAUGUAGGUUUAUUUUAUGUCAAACACAUUAAGUAACAAAAUAUCUAAACUUUUUGUUUAGUGUUGAGUAUUUGGCCCUACAACCAUGCUACAAUCACACACCACCAAUUCCCUUGAAGUCUUUUGAGCUUGCACAGGGGUGAUGUACUGUUGUCUUUUUGAGCGUUACGGUUAGUACAGCAUUCAAAAAUCAGAAGGAAUCAACUUUGCAAUGGAAGGUGACUUUUUCCCGCAGACUGCUUCAAAUGAAGUUAACCUGUCUAAUCUUGGACCUUAACAUAUUGCAAAGCAUGCAACAUGAAUUUAAUUGUUCCCUACAGUGGUGUUCUAACCUAAAGAAAUAAGCAAACAUUAGAAGCUGAAGUAUAUGCAGGUUUUAUUCCACUUGUGGGAUUUUAGAAAGUGAUUCAUGAUGGACUGUCAUCUGCACUUACUCUGUACCUAACCUAGCUGAACAGAACACAUAGUGCCACUAGCAUUACAUAACCCACCAUGAAAAAUAGAGCAUGGUCUCAAGGAGUUAUGAUGCCUUAUGAAUACAUGCAAGGUGACACAGCAGUACAAUGGAAUACUAAUCAGCUGCCAGAAACUAGAGCUUAAUUAAUUCAUUCUGCUCUCUGCUAGGUAAGAAUAUUGAAUGUUUCCCCUCUUCUGUCUGCAUUUAAUUGCUUCAUGUCGAAAAAGACUAAAGGCAGUGGUGGCAGUGUUCCUACUUGGUCUCCUUGAAGAAGACCUUAGUGUCACUAAGUCAGGAAAUAAACCUUAGCAUGCAGUAAAUGGUGUGCUUUCCACUGAGGAUGAAGGGAUAUGUCCACACCAAUCUGAUACUAUGCUCCUCAGCUUUUACAUUUCGAGUGUAGGUGAAUGCGGAUGGUUUUUUCAUACUUAAUAUGUUUCUUCUGGGUUGACAUGCUAUCAGUAACCUGUCAGUCUGUAUGACUUUCAUGUUGACACCCCUUGAUUCAUUUGUAAUUUGUGGAAAGUUAAGGCGAACCUAAAUGUAUCAAAGGAAGUAAAAGCCAAUAAUUUAGGAUUUUUUACCCGGUUGUUCCGGCUAAAAGGUUUUUUCACACUUAAUCUGUUCUGUUCAGUUCGGACUCUGGUGCAUUUGCCCAUUAGGCUUGGUUCACCUACGCUAGUGUGAAAACUAAUAAUUCUAAACAACAGGACUGAGACGGUCUAAAAGACGCGUGAAACACUUAAGCGUGUCAGCAUGUGAGGGUGCAUUUUCCCUGACACAUUGGAAAGUGACAAGGGGUUAAAGCAAGAGUUUGUUGAGCUUGUGUCCCACCCUGUAUAUUUUGAUUGUCCUUCUUUGAAAAAGUGAGUGGAGUGGCCACACAGCCCCAUGGGGCCCUACAUUGAUAAUGUAGGAUGACAUCAUCAAAACCUGCAUCAAAGUAAACAUUUUACAUAAAAUGGCAGUGAAAUGUUCUUGUUUAAAAUGAACAAAAUAGUUAUCCUAAAUUUUAGAGCAUGUCAUACAACUGUAGCAUGGUUAUGCUAAUAUUUCUGAUUUAGUAUAACUUCAUAUAGUGUCUGGUUACACUUGGAAUGAUGUGUUCUUGAAUAAACCCUAGAAACAGUCUUAGACGUUGGAUGGCUAACAGCUUCUCCAGCAUGAUGAGAGCAAGUAUGAGUUUGUCUUUUCUACACAAUGAAAUUAUCAUCACCAUCAAUAAAACCGUCUGUCUGUUA